rnacentral:tRNA from 5 species
GGAAGUGUGGCCGAGUGGUUUAAGGCAGCGGUCUUGAAAACCGCCGACUCGCAAGGGUCCCAGAGUUCGAAUCUCUGCGCUUCCG